rnacentral:rRNA from 1 species
AGUAUAAGCAAUUAUACCGUGAAACUGCGAAUGGCUCAUUAAAUCAGUUAUCGUUUAUUUGAUAGUACCUUACUACUUGGAUAACCGUGGUAAUUCUAGAGCUAAUACAUGCUGAAAACCCUGACUUCGGAAAGGGUGUAUUUAUUAGAUAAAAAACCAAUGCCCUUUGGGCUCUUUGGUGAUUCAUGAUAACUUAACGGAUCGCAUGGCCUUGCGCCGGCGACGGUUCAUUCAAAUUUCUGCCCUAUCAAUCUUUCGAUGGUAAGGUAUUGGCUUACCAUGGUUUCAACGGGUAACGGGGAAUUAGGGUUCGAUUCCGGAGAGGGAGCCUGAGAAACGGCUACCACAUCCAAGGAAGGCAGCAGGCGCGCAAAUUACCCAAUCCCGACACGGGGAGGUAGUGACAAUAAAUACUGAUACAGGGCUCUUUAGGGUCUUGUAAUCGGAAUGAGUACAAUUUAAACCUCUUAACGAGGAACAAUUGGAGGGCAAGUCUGGUGCCAGCAGCCGCGGUAAUUCCAGCUCCAAUAGCGUUAUAUUAAAGUUGUUGCAGUUAAAAAGCUCGUAGUUGAAUCUUGGGCCUGGCUGGCCGGUCCGCCUCACCGCGUGUACUGGUCUGGCCGGGCCUUUCCUUCUGGAGAACCUCAUGCCCUUCAGUGGGUGUGUUGGGGAACCAGGACUUUUACUUUGAAAAAAUUAGAGUGUUCAAAGCAGGCCUUUGCUCGAAUACGUUAGCAUGGAAUAAUAGAAUAGGACGUGCGGU